GUCGUCUUGACUGUUUGUGUAUUGUGUUUGUGUAUUCCUGUUCCGGAUUCUGAACAAUUUAAUUUUUAUUUCGGUUUUGUGCUUUAUAUACAUUGUAUGGAAAAUUGCUUGAUGGCAGUAUUGUAUAAAAAAACAAAAGAAAGUAACGAGGAAGAUCGAGAACAGAAGUGUUUAAGUAGUGUACAUAGUGUGAAGGACUCUUCUCCGAAUAAAGGUAAUUUUCUUAGUCUUUCUUAAGAGAAUUAGCAAUAUUAACUCAGUUUUCAAUUACAGCGAGCCACAAUUGCUAGUUGCAGCUGUCAUGUUAGUAGAACUCAGCAUAACAUGCCAGACCAUGUCAUUAAAUGGGUGUGUAAAUGAUCAAUAGCUUGUGAAAUGGGCAUGUCCAGUUACGGCAUGACACGGCCAGCGAAAUGGGCCACCAAGGAACCAUUCUCAGAUUCAUGAUGUUUUGGAGAGGAAUUGACUUGCAUCACUGGAUUACCUCAAAGAUGAAUGGAUGAAAUUACCGAUGACAUUCACACAGUCUGCCUUAUCAUUAAAAGUUAGUUAAUAAUCUAUUGUUUUAUUAUAGGAGAAAUGAAAAGUAGGCAGAGCUUCUCUGUCGUUGGAAACCGGAUAUAACUAUUCUCGGAAGAAGAUACGGUGCCGGAAACCCAGACGGAUCACUGCGAAACGCGACCCACGUUUGAAGAGGCCAAAGAUUUGCUCUCCUAUAGAAAGACAGAUAGCGCCAGAAAUUUAGGGGGGAACUGGCUAGCCUACUGGAAAACGAAGCUGGAAGAACCGAACGCGAUACCCGAUUGAAUUUCAAUAAGCAGAUUCGACCGCUGAAGUUAAAUGGCAACUCGUAGGGAAUUCUCAGUAUUCACCUAAUCUCUAUCGAAGCCUUUUGCUCUAACGAAAGGUUGCCACCGGCGGGACGUUGGAACAUGAUUCCGCUUUCAGCGCUAAAAUGAAACUAAAUACAUAAACGUUCUGUUUCCAAUAA